AUAUAUCCACCCCGGAACCUUCGUCUAUCAUUACUCUUUUGACGUAAUAGCCUUCAUAUUUGACGGUGAGGUGCAAGGAUUUUUUGUGGGCAGCUCCUUCAGGAGGCAGAUCAUUUUUGCAAAAUGUAACCUGAUUAAUAGCAAAGAAUCUUUCCGCCAUUUUCUCCAGUUGUUCCACGGAUGUUUGAACCGGCACAUAAGCUUCACUCAAGAUUUUGGCCAACACUUUCUAGUGCUCUGGAGAGUUCAUCAGCAAUGAUAAUAAUGAGUCUUGCUCGGGAGACUUUUGGAGCUGGUCCACCACGUCAUAUUCUGGCAUUUUCAUCUUUUGAAAGAAGGCGUCUGUCUCUUCAUCAUUUAUGGGCUUUUUGGG
rnacentral:lncRNA from 1 species